UACGGGGGGGGCAAGCGUUGUUCGGAAUUACUGGGCGUAAAGGGCUCGUAGGUGGCCAACUAAGUCAGACGUGAAAUCCCUCGGCUUAACCGGGGAACUGCGUCUGAUACUGGAUGGCUUGAGUUCGGGAGAGGGAUGCGGAAUUCCAGGUGUAGCGGUGAAAUGCGUAGAUAUCUGGAGGAACACCGGUGGCGAAGGCGGCUCUCUGGACAGGUACUGACGCUGAGACGCGAAAGCGUGGGUAGCAAACAGG
rnacentral:rRNA from 1 species